UACGUAGGCAGCAAGCGUUGUUCGGAGUUACUGGGCGUAAAGAGUGCGUAGGUGGUGCCCUAAGUCUGUUGUGAAAUCUCCCGGCUUAACUGGGAGGGUGCGGUGGAAACUGGGGUGCUUGAGUGUGGGAGAGGUAAGCGGAAUUCCUGGUGUAGCGGUGAAAUGCGUAGAUAUCAGGAGGAACACCGGUGGCGAAGGCGGCAUCCUGGACCGACACUGACGCUGAGGAGCGAAAGCCAGGGGAGCAAACGGG
rnacentral:rRNA from 1 species